UACGUAGGGGGCAAGCGUUAUCCGGAUUUACUGGGUGUAAAGGGAGCGCAGGCGGCGUGGCAAGUCAGAUGUGAAAACCCGGGGCCCAACCCCGGGAGUGCAUUUGAAACUGCCAUGCUGGAGUGCCGGAGAGGUAAGCGGAAUUCCUAGUGUAGCGGUGAAAUGCAUAGAUAUCACGCAGAACUCCGAUUGCGAAGGCAGCUUACUAAGCCAUAACUGACACUGAAGCACGAAAGCGUGGGGAUCAAACAGG
rnacentral:rRNA from 1 species